rnacentral:tRNA from 1 species
GGGGAUAUAUCUCAGUUGGUAGAGUGUUUGCCUCACAUGCACAAGGCCCUGGGUUCAAUCCCCAUCACCACCA